rnacentral:rRNA from 1 species
UACAGAGGUCUCAAGCGUUGUUCGGAAUCACUGGGCGUAAAGGGCGCGUAGGUUGUUGAGUAAGUCAGAUGUGAAAACUUAGCGCUCAACGUUAAGCCUGCAUUUGAUACUGUUCAACUUGAGAGUCAGAGGGGAAGCUAGAAUUCACGGUGUAGCAGUGAAAUGCGUAGAUAUCGUGAGGAAUACCAAAGGCGAAGGCAGGCUUCUGGAUGACUUCUGACACUGAAGCGCGAAGGCUAGGGGAGCAAAUGGG